rnacentral:lncRNA from 1 species
CCAGGAGCUUGCUACAAGUGCCAGAAAUCUGACCACCAGGCCAAGGAAUGCCUGCAGCCCAGGAUUCCUCCUAAGCCAUGUCCCAUCUGUGCGGGACCCCACUGGAAAUCGGACUGUUCAACUCACCUGGCAGCCACUCCCAGAGCCCCUGGAACUCUGGCCCAAUGCUCUCUGACUGACUCCUUCUUGGCUUAGUGGCUGAAGACUGACGCUGCCUGAUCCCCCCGGAAGCCCUGUAGACCAUCACGGAUGCCGAGGUUUAGGUAACUCUCACAGUGGAAGGACCAGAAAAUCUUUCUCUUCCAGUCAGUGUCAUUCAUUUAUGACCAGCGGUUGAAUCCAGUCAUAAAAUCUGAAGCUCCUGGGUACCUCUACAUCACUGGGCCUAUGAUACACUGUUUCAGAACGUACUUACACAUGGGGUGGGACGAUUUUCUUAACUAAUACUUGUGACUACUCCACAGCAAAGCUGGAAACAAAAGUAUUGGGUGAGCUAUCUUCCAAAAUCUGGAGAUGGUUUCGGAGAGAGUUUCAUUGCCAUAAAUUUAAAGGGGGAUUGGAUUUACUCAGGAAAAAUUACAAGUGAGCGUAGGAGAUAAACUAGUAAAUGCCAUAUUUGGCCCACCAGGCACAAAGAAGGGUUAUAAUUGGCUCCUUUAAGUCCUAUAUGCAGAUAUCAAAUCCCUAUACUUGCUCUUUAUUGCAUAGAAUAAAUUUACCUCACUCCUUACUUUGAAACAUGAAAUGAGGAUCAAAUUAUAGUUUCAAUUAUUGCAAAUAGUUGUACAAAUGAAAAGAUUGUCUUAUUGUGGGCAUUACACAAACCCACCAAGGAAUAAGUAAUCUUUAAAUUCUAUGAAGUGAUUUGUAAUCUGAUACAGUAAGAAAAAAAAAUCUCAGACUUUGAUUAAUUACCACCACGCUCACCGCUAUAUCACUGUCCAAUGUCAUCAUAAUUUCACUGCCACUUAAAACUACACUUCAGCCAUAGAAAGCCAAAAAAUUAGGCACUGGUGACCUGUCCAAAAGAAAAAAAAAAAAAAAGGAACAGGAAGUGGAGAAAUACCACCUCAUAAAUUUCACCCAACCACAUUUAACAGCCACCUGGAGUUCACACCAACUCACUUGGAUCUCCUAUGACGAAUAUGCCUCUAUCACAAUGUUGAGGCCACUGAGUUUCUCAUGUACUAAAAUUUGGCUUAAUGUGGUUACUCUUUCUCUCUGGGAGUUUUAAGAACAACUUCAUGGUCAUAAUAUUCUCUUUAAUAAAUAUGAUUCAUCUGAAUGUUAGAUUCCCGUUUAACUACCACAAUCUUCAGAAGAAAAGUUAUAGCUCUUACUGACUUCAGAAGCUGCUCUGGAUGACUUUAUAAUUUAUCAUCCAAAUGGAAGACGUUUGAGAGCGAAAGGAUACACUAAAAUAAUUAAAUGUAUACAAUUUUUGGAAAAUGUUUAUUGCUUAAAAAUAUUGUUUAUUGUAUGAAAUUUUGUAUAUUUAUAUUCAUGUGUCUGUAAAAACAAUUCUAUUCAAAAAUUACUUUAAAAAUUCUUUAAAGAUACAAAUAUAUUUGUAUACUUUAAAACAGGUUGAAAUAUUGAUUAUAUAAACUAUUAGAAAGUUACAUAAGCAGAAAGAAUAUUACCUGCACAUAUUUAUGUGCUUUAAUCUGCUCCUUAGCUGAAUCUGUCUCUAAUGUGUUUUUUAAAAAAUAUUUUUAAAUUAUUUUUAUUUUUCCUAUAAAAUUGUCUGAAAUAUUUGAAAUUUGAAAAUUAAAAUUCUUCAUUUAAAAAUUUGAAGUCACUGAUAUCCUUACUCACUAGACACAUCUUUGUAAAAGAACCAAAAAAAUAAAAUAUCUGUAAAUGUCCCAAGGGAACUGCUUAUCUCCAAAUAAAUUCUGCUAAAUGUGAUAUUAUCUCAAUUUCAAUUUAUUUUAAGCUGAAAUGCAUAAAUGUUUCAGCCCAAAUAUUUUCAUGGGCACUGCCUCUUUUGCCUCCAUGUAGCACAGCUUCUUCCAACA